rnacentral:tRNA from 1 species
AGAUACACGUGUAGAAACAUACACACACGUAAUGUACACAUAUGUAUAGUGCACAUAUGCACGCACUUGUACACACAUUUAGGCAUACACAUGCAUAUGUAGAUGCAUGUGUACAUGCAUGUAUACAUCUACACAUGCACAGACACACAUACAUGUACACAUGCAUACUGUGUACAUAAUACAUGUAUACAGAUACAUGUGCGCAUGCACGUGUACACACAUGCAUGCAUACACACAUGCAUUUGUAGAUAUAUGUGUAGGUGUGUACACACAACAUACACAUAUGCAUCCACACAUACACAUAUACAUAUGAGGUGGCACGUUCAGCUUUCAAGAGGACCAUCAGGGACUUUGUCACCUUGACAACUUUAGCCUUGCCUUCUAGUCACCUUGCCGGAACACUUGUGCCCGUGUUUUUCUAGCACUGUCAUAAGAAUACUUUUACCUAUCAAGGCAACUGGGGGUUAGGAGAGCUUUUUGCACAGGAGGCUACUUGGCUUUGUUUGAAAACUGAUGAUACAUGAGGAUUGGGGUGGUGAAUCACUCACAUGUUUCUUCAUAUGAAAAAUGAGGACUGUGGGAUUCUCUGGCUGGAUCUCAGCACCUAGAAAUGGAUCUGGGCAAUAGGAACUGCUCAGUAUUAGCUACCGCUUUGGUUGCCUUCUCCUUGCGGAAAGCUGGCCUCUCACACUGAAUUUGUAUCAUAGGCACUCAUGAGGGUCUUGACUGUAUCAAUAUCUGAUGAGAGAUUUUAGUGCAGUUCUGUUAUCGUGGCUGAUUUGCUCAUUUGGUAGCUAGCAUCCAGCUUCUUGUGAACAUUAAAAUAAAAUAAAAUAGAUUAUGGAGGAAUAGAAUACAGAUACGUAGUAAGGUAUUAUUUUCCAGACAAAAUGGAUUUGGAUAAAAGAAUCUAAUUAAGAACUUGUGCAUGAUUCUUUUAAAAUUCUUUUGAAUCCAUUUUUUUUUUUUUGGCCUGUUUUCAAGUCUCCGAUUUUUGUCACCCUUCUCACACCAGGUCAGAGAGAUAGCUAAUGGUCAGAAGGAAUCUUCCAGCAAUGACCAUAGCGCUUUCUCCUGCCUGCAGAUGCCUCUUUUUAUUCAGCCUUUAUGGGAAGUAGCAGCACCAUCCAGUUCUCAGAGAGCAAGCUCUGGAGUAACUGAGCUAACCCCAGUUACCCCAGUGGAUUUACAGAUUGAGGUUACAACCCAGCAGGGUUCUCUUCCUGGAAAGAAUAGCCUUCCCUCUAAGGUUUCAAAUAGACCCUGGGUGAGGAAGGAGCCCUAAACAGCUUGAAAAAUUGAAUGCUCUUUGGGCAAAGCAGGAAGCCGUCCUAUGGAAGAGCAUCAUUUGAGCAUAAAUCAGGUUAUCAGGACAAACAGAGUGUUCAGGAGGUCAAGAUGGUUAAGCAGAGACCCUGACCAGAAUGUCCGUGGCGGAGAGAAACAAUCUUGUUGGGAAAAGGAUGACAAUAAUUGGGGACUUAGAAUAAAGGCUAAAAAUGAUUCAAAGAGAAUGCAAAAAGAAUCAGGCACAAAUCGUUUACUAUACUCUGUUAUGCAAAUCUCACCUUACUAUGUGUUUGUAUUCUAUUCCUCCACAAUCUUUAUUUUAUUUUAAUGUUCAAAGAGACUUGUAGGUGCCAAUUAAAUGAACAAAACAGCCAGAGACAACAGAACUGCCCUAAAAAAAGUCCCGCAUCAGCUCUUGAGAGCAGGUUCCUUAAAGGUGAACAAUAUUCCACAUACAAGGACUUUUUCAGCACCAUGCAUUAGAAAUGGAAGUGAAUGUUUAUUAUUUUUUGUAUAAGUUGGUUGAUAUGGCUUUUCAGCUUCCCUCAGUAUCAUUAUCCAAAUUUUGUAGAUGACACUAAAGCUCAGAGGAGUUAAACCAUUUUCCUUAAAUCACAUAGCUUUAAAUAGGAAAACCAGAUAUGAAAAGCAGAUUUUUUUUCUAAAUUAAAAAACCAAAAACAAAAACACGUGAGCUCUUGCUUUACCCUAGCACAUAGUCUUGCCAUCUGUUUUCUCCACACCAGGUGAUUCCUGUAACAUUCAUUCACAUAACAAAUACAAAUAAAUGAGUGGAUUCAUUCAUCAGAUAUUAAUUCAGAAUCCCUUUUGUGCCUUCCAGAAAUCUGGACCAUCUCACAACCCCCAGAGAGUCUCAGCUACAAGGAACAAGUGAUAAUGCCAUCCCACUUUUAUAAACACACACACACACACAUGCAAUACACACACAAUCAUUUAAUCAUUUUUAAUUAUUUAAUUAUUUUUUAAAAAUCAGUGACACUUUAGCUGGGCAGGUCUAGAUAGGUCUUCUUUGCUGGGACGUGUCUUUUUCUGUCCUGGAAUACCCUAAACUUCACAUUUUGGCAGCGUGAGUUUUCCCUUUGUGACUUUCUCCUUCUUCCCUUUUUUCCUCCUUCUUUGCAGAGAAUGAGUAGCCACUGCACCUUGCCCUGCGCCAUCAAUGAGAAGAUCUGCUCUUAGUAGAGCCCUGCUUUCCCGCUGAAGGCCCUGAAAUCACCUGUGUUCCAGGCCACCCACUAAGGAUAAACAAAGCUUCCCUGAUAUGGGGAAUUAGCUCAAGUGGUAGAGCGCUUGCUUAGCAUGCAAGAGGUAGUGGGAUCAAUGCCCACAUUCUCCAAGCUUUAUUAUUUAGGUACCCAAACCCGAGUCAGUGUCUGAGAGCAAGACACUGCUCUCGGUGUCUUUGGUUCAAGACAUAGGAGCAGCAACAAUACAGGACUGGUGACAGCUUCCUGCUGGCAUUCAGUAUAGUGUAGAUCUACUGUGUAAUUAAUUUUCUGUUUCUUCGAGGAGCUGUGAAACCAAAGGACAUAUAAAACUGCUCUUUUCUCCCUGUUUCUGCCUGCAGCUUGGUCCUAAAUGUGAGACAAUUGUGAAAAGUGGAGGACAGAGCCACCUGGUUAAAUACAGCCCCAGCUUUCUGGUGAGAGGACUGAAACCAAGAUGUGUCAAGUAACUAGAAUGUGCCUGGACAGAUACUGUAGAAAGCAAAACCAUAAAGUUGUUCAUGAGCUUGUGGACGCACCUGCCAGCUGUGAAUAAGUGGCUCUAAUCCCGAACAACUUACCUAAAAAGAGCCUGAGAGCUGAACUGUGCAAUGGCCCACUUUCCAGUCCUCACUGACCACUGGGUUGCACACACUUUGGAGAUCUCUGAACAGCAGUGUCAAGGCUUUCAAAUAGAGUUAUCUUUGAAACGACAACACAUGAAAGUCUGGUUGGUACUUGGAGCUUAAAUACAAGGCAAUUGUGUGCCUGCAAAAACAAAAAUAGCAAUAUUAUCCUUAAGAUUUCAACAAGACACAGUGUCUCAUCACAUAAUCCAAAGAAGUCCAGGUUACAAGCCCCACAAUAUUCAGCAUUAUGAAAAAACAGGGAGAUCUUAAUUCACAUGGCAAAGAGAAUCCUCGAAUAACAAUAUUGAGAGGACACAGAUGUCAAAAUCAUCUGACACAUACAUUAAAGCAGAUAUUAUAACAAUGCUCCUAGAAUCGGGGAUAACAUUCGUGAAGUGAAUGGAAAGUUGGAAAGUCUCACCAAAUAUUUCGAAUACAUAAACACCAAUUUAAACUUAAGAAUUAAAAAAAUGUAUUAACCAAAACUCUUAGGGGAAAUAAAAAGCUUAAUUGGAGGAUCUCCAUAAUCGAAUGCAGAAGACUAAGGAAAAAGUCAAUGAACUUGAAAACAGAACACGAAUACCUACAUAAUCUGAACUAUAGAGAGAAAGGAGGAUUUUAUUGUCUCUGAACAGAGGCUCAGGCACAAAUAAAAAAUAACAAAUCCAACAUUCACAUUAUUGUAAUCUGGAAAGAAGAGGACAAAGUGGUCUUUGUGGGAUAAAACUUUGAACAAUUAAUAGCUGAAAAUGGUUCAAAUUUGUCAAAAGAUAUAAACCAGAUUUUUAAAGUUCAGUAAAUGUCAAUCAGGAUAAACCCAAAGAAACCCAUAGCAAGGCAUAUCAUAAUCAAACUGCUGAAAACUAAGAAAAUACAAAACAAUUUUGAAAGCAGCCAAAGGGAAAUGAAAGAGAAACUACCAAAUGAAUGAUUGUAGAUUUCGCAUCAGGAACCAUAGGGGCCAGAAAAAAUGUCAUAACAUUCGGUAAGUAACAAAAGAAAAAGACAUAUCGACCCAGAAUGCUAUGUGGAGCAAAAGUAUCUUCCAGACAUAAAGGCAAAUAAAUGCAUUCUCAGUGGAAGGUAAGUAAAUACAUUCUCAUUCUUAGGAAGACUGCUGGAAAAGAAUUAGCAAAGAUUUGAGAUAAGAAAAAUGAUACCAGAAGGAAACUUAGAACAUCAUCAGUGAAGGAACAAAAGCAGAAAUAGAACAUGUCUGGGUAGACAUAACAGACUAUUAUUCUUCCCUUGAGUUCCUUAAGGAGACUACGGAAAAGAAGAGUGACUAAGAUCUCUGAAGAAGGGAAAAGCUAGAUGACUGGGCCACAAGAGGAAAAAAAGCAGCAAGACAGCUUGAAUGUGAGGCAACUGUGAAAAGUGCAGGGCAGAGCCACCUGGGUAAAUACAGCCCUGGCUUUCUGGUGAGAGGACUGAAACCAGGAUGUGUCAAGUAACUAGAAUGUGCCUGGACAGAUACUGUAGAAAGCAAACCCAUAAAGUUGUUCAUGAGCUUGUGGACGCACCUGCCAGCUGUGAAUAAGUGGGUCUAAUCCCAAACAACUUACCUAAAAAGAGCCUGAGGACUGAACUAAACAAUGGUCCACUUUCCAGUCCUCACUGACCACUGGUUGCACACACUCCAGAGAUCUCUCAUCCGCAGUGUCAAGGCUUUCAAAUAGAGUUAUCUGUGAAACAACAACACAUGGAAGUCUGGUUGGUACUUGGAGCUUAAAUACAAGGCAAUUGUGUGCCUGCAAAAACAAAAAGAGCAAUAUUAUCCUUAAGAUUUCAACAAGACACAGUGUCUCAUCACAUAAUCCAAAGAAGUCCAGGUUACAAGCCCCAAAAUAUUCAGCAUUAUGAAAAACCAGGGAGAUCUUAAUUCACAUGGCAAAGAGAAUCCUUGCAUAACAAUAUUGAGAGGACACAUAUGUCAAAAUCAUCUGACACAUACAUUAAAGCAGUUAUUAUAACAAUGCUCCUAGAAUUACGGGAUAGCAUUCAUGAAGUGAAUGGAAAGUUGGAAAGUCUCACCAAAUAUUUGGAAUAUGUAAACACCAAUUUAAACUUAAGAAUUAAAAAAAGUAUUAACCAAAACUAUUAGGGGAAAUAAAAAGCUUAAUUGGAUGAUCUCAAUAGCAGUAUGCAGAAGACUAAGGAAAAAGUCAAUGAACUUGAAAACGGAACAAGAAUACCUACAGAAUCUGACCUAUAGAAAGAAAGGAGGAUUUUAUUGUCCCUGAACAGAGGCUCAGGGACAAAUAAAAAAUAACAAAUCUAACAUUCACAUUAUUGUAAUCUGGAAACAUUCACAUUAUUGUAAGAGGACAAAGAGGUCUUUGUGGGAUAAAACUGUGAAGAAUUAAUGGCUGAAAAUGUAUCAAAUUUCUCAAAAGAUAUAAACCAGAUUUUUAAAGUUCAGUAAAUGUCAAGCAGGAUAAACCAAAAGAAACCCAUUGCAAGACAUAUCAUAAUCAAACUGCGGAAAAUUAAGAAAACACAAAACAAUUUUGAAAGCAGCCAAAGGGAAAUGAAAGAUAAAAUACCAAAUGAAUGAUUGUAGAUUUCUCAUCGGGAACCCAGGAGCCAGAAAAAAAUGUCAUAACAUUCAGUAAAUACCAAAGGAAAAAUACAUUAUCAACCCAGAAUGGUAUGUGGAGCAAAAGUAUCUUCCAGACAUAAAGGCAAAUAAAUGCAUUCUCAUUGGAAGGUAAAUAAAUACAUUCUCAGUCCUAGCAAAACUGCUGGAAAAGAAUUAGCAAAGGUUUGAGAUAAGAAAAGUGAUACCAGAAGGAAACUUAGAACAUCAUCAAUGAAGGAACAAAAGCAGAAAUAGAAAAUGUCUGGGUAGACAUAACAGACUAUUAUUCUUCUCUUGAGUUCCUUAAGGUAUGUUUGAUGGUUGAAAGCAAAAAUUGUAACUUUAUCUGAUGCAGUUGUCAUUGUAUCUAGAUGUACUACAUACAUAAGAUAAAAGGGUAAAUGUAAUGGGACUAACUCUUGAUGAAGUUUCUAUAUUCAACUUGAAUGGUAAAAUAUUGAUUCUUAGUAUACUGUGAAAAGUUAUAUAUGUAUAUGGUAAUCCCUAGACCACUUAACAACCAGAUUGAAAUAAACCAAAACAAGAUAGACAGAGGAACAUAGAAGAAUUAAAACAAAGGGAAAAAAGGUUAAUAAAUUAUUAAAUAGUAGAUCUAUCUAAAAACUUAUCUAUAAUAACAUUAUAUGUAAAUUAUCUAAAUGCAUUAAGUAAAAACUAGAGAUCAUCAGAAUGUGUUAAAAAUAAAUAUGCUGACUAAAGAAAGCCACCUGCAAUACACUUAUAAAUAAGAAUAAAAGUUAUAGAGCAGAUUGAAAGAAAAGAGUGGGAAAAGAUACCUCAUGCAAGCAUUAAUCAAAGACAGCUGUGGUGUAUAUAUAUAAAAUCAGACAAAGUAGAUUUGAAAGCAGAGAAACUUUUCAGGAAUAAUGAGGCCUCCUAAAUAAUUAUGAUUGUCAAUUUUUCAGGAGAAUAUUGUCCCAAAUGUAUAUGAGGACACAGAGCUUCAAAACUCAUAAACAAAAUUGGAUACGCCAAGUAAAAAUAGAAAAAUCCAGUUAUAGUUGCAGUCAUUAACACUCCUCUCUGAGUAAUUGGAAGAUUUAGUGGAACACAAAUCAACAGACAUACUGGAGAAUUGAACCAUGCCAUCCAGUAAUGGACCUAUCAAUUUCAUAAUGCAAAAUAAAAAUUCAGGUAGAAAGCAAAGACAAAAAUUAAAAGAAAAGCAAGAUCAUGUUAUAAUGAGAAAAUUAAGAGUAGUCCAGUGUAUAGAAGGGUGCUAUUAUUGAAAGAGUUUGAAAUAGUGACUUAGUUAUUUUGAAACAUUUUUGAAGACGUUAUUUAGCUGGAAAUGACAGAAAGACUGAAAAUGGUGAAUGUGGAGGUGGAUCUUCCCUUGUCCAUAUUUAUCUUGUCUUCGUUUGAGGUCUGGGGUGUCUAUACUUCCUCUGAAUUACCUGAUCUUACUACAGUGUCUGGCACAGAGCAUCUCCCCAGUGAAUAUGUACUAAAUGAGUAGAAAGUAAUUGAUAGAUUCAAAAGAGUUGUGCAAGAAUAAUGUUCAUUAUUUGACUAAUCACUGAAUGUGGUGUUUCAAGGAAGACAAUGAAUCAAAGUUGACUUGAAAGGUAAGCCCAGGGCCAGACGUGGUGGCUCAUUUCUGUAAUCCCAGCACUUUGGGAGGCCGAGAUCAGUGGAUCCCUUGACACCAGGAGUUUGAGACCAGCCUAGGCAACACAGUGAAAACCUGUCUCUACAACAAAUACAAAAAUUAGCCGGGUGUGGUGGUAUGCAUCUGUAGUUCCAGCUACUCAGGAGGCUGAGGUGGGAGGAUCGCUUGAACUCAGGAGGUGGAGGUUGCAGUGAACAGAGAACGCACCGGUACCUGGACAACAAAGUGAGACCCUGUCAUAAAAUAAAAUAGUUAAACCCAGGCCAGGAGGGGUGGCUCAUGCCUGUAAUCCCAGCACUUUGGAAGGCCAAGGUAGGCUGAUCACGUGACGUCAGGAGGUUGAGACCAGCCUGGCCAACAUGGUGAAACCCCGUCUCUACUAAAAAUACAAAAAUUAACCAAGCGUGGUGGCAGGCACCUGUAGUCCCAGCUACUCUGGAGGCUGAGACAGGAGAAUUACUAGAACCCGGGAGGCAGAGGUUGCAGUGAGCCAAGAUCUUACCAUUGCACUGCAGCCUGGGCGACAGAGUGACACUCUGUCGAAAAAAAAAAAAAAAAAAAAGUUAAGCCCAAAAAGUAAGUAAGGAAGAGGUUUGGAAUUAGAUAUUUGUUGUAUGAAUGAGUGAGCUAAAGUGCAAAAGAACGGGCAGAAUAACUGAGCUGGUACAGAGGGAAAAAAUCACAUUUAAAAUCUAAAAAUAUCUGCUUCUUAGUUCAGGCUUUCCCACUUAGCAGCUUUGGCACCUUAGGAACACUUAACUUAUCUGAGCCUCUAUUACUUCUAAAAAGUGCAUAAAGUGCAGACUAAGACAGUUUUUUUGGCAAAAUUCAGUCAGACUACAUCAAGUAAACUCCCUAAGUCUCCUAGUAUAAUUCAUGGCACAAAAAAUUGGGGAAAAAACAGGGAGGAUAUGAUUAUAAGUUCAGUUUAUGUUUUUUGUUGAGUGAAUGUCUCCAGUCAUAGAGAUGCAAGUGUAGAUACACAGUAAGAGUAGUAUGAAUGGGAGACACCUUGGAAGGCUAUUUCUUCCUUCCUUCAUUCAGUUGGUCACUCAGUGAACUAUCAUGAAUUGAGCACCGCCUCUGUUUCUUAUCAACAAAGGAGACUGCGGAAAAGAAGAGUGACUAAGAUCUCUGAAGAAGGGAAAAGCUAGAUGACUGGGCCACAAGAGGAAAAAAAGCAGCAAGACAGUUACAAUUGUUUCUGGUCCCACUUUUAUAAACACACACACACACACACACACACACACACACACACACAAAAUCAUUUAAUCAUUUUUAAGUAUUUAAUCAUUUUUUAAAAAUCUGUGAUGCUUUACCUGGGCAUGUCUAGGCAGGUCCUCCUUUGCUAGGACGUGCCCUUUUCUGUCCCGGAAUACUCUAAACUUGGCAUUUUGGCAGCGUGAAGUUUUCCCGUUGUGACUUUCUCCUUGUUCCCUUUUCUCCUCCUUCUUUGCAGACAAUGAGUAGCCACUGCUGUUUGCCCUGGCCCAUCAAUGAGAAGAUCUGCUCUUAGAGCCCUGCUUUCCUGCUGAAGGCCCUGAAAUCACCUGUGUUCCAGGCCACCUGCUAACAAUAAAUAAUGCUGCCCUGAUGUGGGGAAUUAGCUCAAGUGGUAGAGCGCUUGCUUAGCACGCAAGAGGUAGUGGGAUCGAUGCCCACAUUCUCCAAGCUUUAUUAUUUAGACAUCGUGUCUCCAAACACUCAGGUCUCCAAACCCAAGUUAGUGUCUGAGAACAGGAUGCUGCUUUGGUUCAAGACGUAGGAGCAGCAAUAAUAGAGGGCUGGUGAUGGCUCCCUCUUGGCAUUCAGUAUAGUGUAGAUCUACCAUGUAAUUAAUUCUCUGUUUCUUUGAGGAGCUGUGAAACCAAGGGACAUAUACAACUGCUCUUUUCUCCCUGUUUCUACCUGCAGCUUUGUCCUAAAUGUGAGACAAUUAUGAAAAGUGCAGCGCAGAGCCACUUGGGUAAAUACAGCCCCGGCUUUCUGCUCAGGGGACAGAGUUUGAGGCACUGCAGAGGAACCGGCCAAAGUAUGAGACCCAUAUAUUGAGAGUAACAGAGUGUAAAGUUCAAAAAAAUCAAAAUAUUUAAAGAUUUAUCAUGGGUCUUGAUGACAUGAUGGAAUCUCUCUACUCUCUGGACUUAUUAUGUGUGGUAAUAAAUUUACUUUUUAAAAGCCA